rnacentral:ncRNA from 2 species
AUAAUCACAAAGGGGAGUCCAUCUGGGCUGAGAUUGAAGUGAUUCUAAACCCUUCGAACCUGUUUCGAUCAUACGAGCGUAGGAAUUGUGAAUUAGGAUAAA